UACGGAGGGUGCAAGCGUUAUCCGGAUUCACUGGGUUUAAAGGGUGCGUAGGUGGGCAGGUAAGUCCGUGGUGAAAUCUCUGAGCUUAACUCAGAAACUGCCGUGGAUACUAUUUGUCUUGAAUGUUGUGGAGGUGAGCGGAAUAUGUCAUGUAGCGGUGAAAAUGCUUAGAUAUGACAUAGAACACCAAUUGCGAAGGCAGCUCACUACACAAUUAUUUGACGCUGAGGCACGAAAGCGUGGGGAUCAAACAGG
rnacentral:rRNA from 1 species